GCUCUGGUAAAAUAUCUAAAAUUUAAUCAAUACUAAUACCUAACUAUGAUUGCGGGUUCGAUUCCCGCCCGGAGCG
rnacentral:tRNA from 1 species